rnacentral:rRNA from 1 species
UGGAAAUUAAACCAAAUGGGAUUCCUUAAGUAAUUGCGAAUGAACAAGGACAUGCUUAGCUUGACAAUUGGAGCCUCUGGCUUCGACUUGUAUUUUUGAAAUGUAUUACCAACAGAGGUGCAGGUGUCAGCCUAUUGAAAGAAAGCGUCAAUGAGGGUGAGAAUCCUGUUUGUCAUGUGCAAUCCUCUGUGCACGGUGUAUGUUUGCUGAGUCACACUCCUUGGCAUUGGAAUGCAAAGUGGGUGGUAAGUUUCAUGUAAAGGUAAAUAUAGGAUUGAGACUGAUAGCACACAAGUACCAUGAGGGAAAUAUGAAAAGGACUUUGAAAAGAGAAUUAAAUGAGUUUGUAUUUGCUGAACAGAAAAUAAACAGAUUUGAUGUUGCUUGGUGAGAUUGUGGUGCUUGCUUGACAAUAGGUUUUGAUUGUGGGUGCGAUGAUUCUUGCUUUGCUUGCCAGUUUCUAUUUGUACAUUUGAUUACCCUUGCACAUGAAUGGUAAUUUUCUGCGGGGUUUGGAUUGCAUGUGUUUGUGAUGAUUUGUGUUUUGAUGCAUGUGUCUGGUGCUUUUGUAAUUGCUCAUUUCUUGAAGCUGGGCCUACCCUACUAGAGCUUACAAGCCCUGGCACACAAUUGCUGGCAAAAUGCUUCUGCUUGACCCG